rnacentral:rRNA from 1 species
AACGAACGCUGGCGGCAUGCCUAACACAUGCAAGUCGAACGAGACCUUCGGGUCUAGGUGCGCACGGGUGCGUAACGCGUGGGAACCUGCCCUUAGGUUCGGAAUAACUCCCCGAAAGGGGUGCUAAUACCGGAUAAUGUCUUCGGACCAAAGAUUUAUCGCCUUUGGAUGGGGCCGCGUUGGAUUAGCUAGUUGGUAGGGUAAAAGCCUACCAAGGCGACGAUCCAUAGCUGGUCUGAGAGGAUGAUCAGCCACACUGGGACUGAGACACGGCCCAGACUCCUACGGGAGGCAGCAGUGGGGAAUAUUGGACAAUGGGCGAAAGCCUGAUCCAGCAAUGCCGCGUGAGUGAUGAAGGCCUUAGGGUUGUAAAGCUCUUUUACCCGGGAUGAUAAUGACAGUACCGGGAGAAUAAGCUCCGGCUAACUACGUG